GACGAACGCUGGCGGCGUGCUUAACACAUGCAAGUCGAACGGAAAGGCCCUGCUUUUGUGGGGUGCUCGAGUGGCGAACGGGUGAGUAACACGUGAGUAACCUGCCCUUGACUUUGGGAUAACUUCAGGAAACUGGGGCUAAUACCGGAUAGGAGCUCCUGCUGCAUGGUGGGGGUUGGAAAGUUUCGGCGGUUGGGGAUGGACUCGCGGCUUAUCAGCUUGUUGGUGGGGUAGUGGCUUACCAAGGCUUUGACGGGUAGCCGGCCUGAGAGGGUGACCGGCCACAUUGGGACUGAGAUACGGCCCAGACUCCUCCGGGAGGCAGCAGUGGGGAAUAUUGCACAAUGGGCGGAAGCCUGAUGCAGCAACGCCGCGUGCGGGAUGACGGCCUUCGGGUUGUAAACCGCUUUCGCCUGUGACGAAGCGUGAGUGACGGUAAUGGGUAAAGAAGCAACGGCUAACUACGUG
rnacentral:rRNA from 1 species